rnacentral:rRNA from 1 species
GACGAACGCUGGCGGCGUGCUUAACACAUGCAAGUCGAACGGGCCUUGUCCCCUUUUUUUUUGGGGGUGGGGUUAGUGGCGAACGGGUGAGUAACACGUGAGUAACCUGCCCCUCACUUCUGGAUAACCGCUUGAAAGGGUGGCUAAUACGGGGUGUUCUGGCCUGCUCGCAUGGGUGGGUUUGGAAAGAUUCGACCGGUUUUGGUUGUUUUGGUGGGGUAUGGGCUCGCGGCCUAUCAGCUUGUUGGUGGGGUGAUGGCCUGCCAAGGCUUUGACGGGUAGCCGGCCUGAGAGGGUGGGCGGUCACACUGGGACUGAGACACGGCCCAGACUCCUACGGGAGGCAGCAGUGGGGAAUAUUGCACAAUGGGCGCAAGCCUGAUGCAGCGACGCCGCGUGAGGGAUGGAGGCCUUCGGGUUGGGAACCUCUUUCGCCAGUGAAGAAGGUCCUGCUCUUUGUGGUGGGGUUGACAGUAGCUGGGUUAAUGAAGCGCCGGCUAACUACGUG